GAUGAAGAACGCAGCGAAAUGCGAUAAGUAAUGUGAAUUGCAGAAUUCAGUGAAUCAUCGAGUCUUUGAACGCACAUUGCGCCCCCUGGUAUUCCGGGGGGCAUGCCUGUCCGAGCGUCAUUGCUGCCCUCAAGCACGGCUUGUGUGUUGGGCCCCCGUCCCCGGUUUCCCCCGGGGACGGGCCCGAAAGGCAGCGGCGGCACCGCGUCCGGUCCUCGAGCGUAUGGGGCUUUGUCACCCGCUCUGUAGGCCCGGCCGGCGCCAGCCGACACCCAACUUUAUUUCUAAGGUUGACCUCGGAUCAGGUAGGGACACCCGCUGAACUUAAGCAUAUCAAUAAGCGGAGGA
rnacentral:misc_RNA from 1 species